rnacentral:rRNA from 1 species
AGUGAACGCUGGCGGCAGGCCUAACACAUGCAAGUCGAACGGCAGCACGGCAGUAGCAAUACUGUGGGUGGCGAGUGGCGGACGGGUGAGGAAUACAUCGGGAUCUACCCUGUUGUGGGGGGAUAACGUAGGGAAACUUACGCUAAUACCGCAUAAGAACUGAGGUUGAAAGCGGCGGACCGCAAGGCGUCGCGCGAUUGGAUGAACCGAUGUCCGAUUAGCUAGUUGGCGGGGUAAAGGCCCACCAAGGCGACGAUCGGUAGCUGGUCUGAGAGGACGACCAGCCACACUGGAACUGAGACACGGUCCAGACUCCUACGGAGGCAGCAGUGGGGAAUAUUGGACAAUGGGCGCAAGCCUGAUCCAGCCAUGCCGCGUGGGUGAAGAAGGCCUUCGGGUUGUAAAGA